CGGACGGGUGAGUACGCGUAGAAACCUCGCGUAUACUGGGGGAUAACACUUAGAAAUAGGUGCUAAUACCGCAUAAGCGCACAGCUUCGCAUGAAGCGGUGUGAAAAACUCUGGUGGUAUACGAUGGUUCCGCGUCUGAUUAGCUAGUUGGUGGGGUAAUGGCCUACCAAGGCAACGAUCAGUAGCCGGCCUGAGAGGGUGAACGGCCACAUUGGGACUGAGACACGGCCCAAACUCCUACGGGAGGCAGCAG
rnacentral:rRNA from 1 species